UACGGGGGGGGCAAGCGUUGUUCGGAAUUACUGGGCGUAAAGGGCUCGUAGGCGGCCAACUAAGUCGGACGUGAAAUCCCUCGGCUUAACCGGGGAACUGCGUCCGAUACUGGAUGGCUUGAGUUUGGGAGAGGGAUGCGGAAUUCCAGGUGUAGCGGUGAAAUGCGUAGAUAUCUGGAGGAAUACCGGUGGCGAAGGCGGCAUCCUGGACCGGCAUUGACGCUGAAGCGCGAAAGCUAGGGGAGCAAACGGG
rnacentral:rRNA from 1 species